UCAAAAGAGAAAAAAAAAAAUUAUGGACAAGAUGAAAAAAUAACACAAUGAAUAUCCAUAUGCACUCACUUAGACUUCAUUGUUAACAUUUUGCCCCAGCUGUUCUGUUUUUUUUCUGAAUAACUUAAGGUGAAUUAUAGACCUCAUGACACUUUAUCCCAGGAUAUUCCAGCUUGGACCUAAGAAUAAAAGUAGCCUCCUAUGUAACAACAAAAUCAUUAACACAUCCAACAAAUCUAACUUUGUGCAAUGAUAUUACAUAUGGUCCAUAGUUAAAUUUUUCUAACAAUCCAAAAAAUUUUUUUGUGAGCUACUUUUAAUUUUCUGAUCCAAGAUCCAACCCAAGAUUGCAUUGGAUUAUCAUUCUCUUCUGUCUCCUUUAUCUAGAACAGCUCUCUUUCUUCCCUUUUUUUGGUCCUUUAAAUGUUGAUAUUUUGAAGCGUAUGAGCCAGUUAUAACAUAAGAAUUUGUUUAUUUCUUUGUGAUUAGAUUCAAGUUCAACACUUUGGAAAGAAUACUAUGUAGGUGAUGUUGAAUCACUACGUCACUUCAAGAGGCAGGCAAUGUCAGUGAUGCUAACUUCGAUCACUUGGUUAAAAUGGUUUCUUCUAGUUCUCUUCGUUAUAAAGAGGAUAUUGGACACAGCAGAGGACUAGCUCACCAAUGUGACAGACACAAUGCCACCAUUUUGGAUGAAUGAUUAUUGAGUAUUGAGUUGCCCGGUAAUGGGCCAGCAACUUUGAACCAAGCAUCCAUGGACAGAAAGACUUUGAUUACAUGCAAUUCCACGUGUACAGCAGGCACUGGCGUCUGUUUCCUUCCCUGGUAUCUCCUUCUAUGCACUGGGAAAAUCCUAGGGGCUUGGAGCAGCUUUGCCAGGACACCUGAUGAGAAGAGGGCAUCUUUGCAAGCUCUGUUUUCUCAGACAUCCUACGUGGAUUGCUAUUUCUGCCAAAGCAUAAUUAAAUUCUGGAGCAGCGAGCACAGAUAAUUAAUGGGCAGUGACACUACUUUGUAUGAUACCGUGAUGGUGGAUACAUGUCAUUACACAUUUGUCCAAACCCACAGAAAGUGCAACACCAAGAGUCAACCCAAAUGUAAACUAUGGACUUUGGGGCCAGGUGCAGUGGCUCACACCUGUAAUUCUAGCAUUUUGGGAGGCCGAGGC